rnacentral:piRNA from 1 species
CGUAGGUGGCAAACUUACCUUCAGGAUGG